AUGCUGAGAAGCAGAAGCCAGCUAAAGAGACUGAGAAAGUGCUGGUGGUGAAGCACCAGGAAAAUCAACAGAUCAUGCUCUGUGUUAGUGGAUUCACAAGCAACCUGUACUCCUCAAAGAAAGAUGAUAAGAUGAAGGAGAUCUCUAGAACCAGCAACUGGGGCUCUUCCUUCAGUGAAAAAAGUGGGUGUAUGCAGACUCAUCCAUCCAUGAAUCUAGAUUGCAGGGAUGUGACCUAUGUAAUGAACUUGCUACUUAUUGCUCAUCAUCAUCUUCUUCAAUGACAAAAAAGAAAAUAGUAACAAUGAAUACGUCUCUUGGGCAAAAUAAAUAAUGAGAUUGUUACAGCAACCUGAUUUUUGAAAAGAAAAAAGGAACUUCCUCGAACUAAAGCAGUUAAGACCUCGACAUUUGCUCAUAGAAAAAGUCGCUGAGUCGUUUCUAGUUGUGAAGGUGCAAAAGAUGCAGUUAUCCCUUAUGGAAAAUUCCAAGAACUUGUGCCUAAUUUGAGUCAUGCAAACCUGAGUUCUGCAUGACUGAGCUCUGUCACUCAAUGGUUGGG
rnacentral:lncRNA from 1 species